rnacentral:rRNA from 1 species
GACAGAGGUGGCAAGCGUUGCUCGGAUUCACUGGGCUUAAAGGGCGCGUAGGCGGCUUUGUAAGUCCGAGGUGGAAUUCCACAGCUCAACUGUGGAACUGCCUUUGAUACUGCAAGGCUUGAGUCAGGUAGAGGAGGGCGGAAUUCCCGGUGUAGCGGUGAAAUGCGUAGAUAUCGGGAGGAAGGCCGGUGGCGAAGGCGGCCCUCUGGGCCUGUACUGACACUGAGGCGCGAAAGCGUGGGGAGCAAACAGG